rnacentral:tRNA from 1 species
UCCCUGAUGGUCGAGUGGUUAAGAGUCUGUACUUCCAGUGCAGAAGACACAGAUUCAAUCCCUGGUCAGGAAA